rnacentral:rRNA from 1 species
UACGUAGGGGCAAGCGUUAUCCGGAUUUACUGGGUGUAAAGGGAGCGCAGACGGAACUGCAAGUCUGAUGUGAAAGCCCGGGGCUCAACCGCGGGACUGCAUCGGAUACUGUAGAUCUGGAGUGCCGGAGGGGCAAGCGGAAUUCCUGGUGUAGCGGUGAGAUGCGUAGAUAUCAGGAGGAACACCGGCGGCGAAGGCGGCUUGCUGGACGGCAACUGACGUUGAGGCUCGAAAGCGUGGGGAGCAAACAGGAUUAGAUACCCG